rnacentral:misc_RNA from 1 species
AAGUCGUAACAAGGUUUCCGUAGGUGAACCUGCGGAAGGAUCAUUAACACGUAUACAAACGUUAAGUACGGUCUACAGGAAUCGUAGAAGCGCUAUCCUUGCACAAUCAAUGACACUUUCCGACACUGACUGCUUGGGGAAACAUUGCCUCUAGAACUACCGCUCGAUUGUAACUGUUCCAAUGUUCGCACGUAGCCAGAGGUCUCUGAAUCACUACAACUUUCCGGGCUAUGAUUUAUCAGAGCUUUGCCAAAGGGUCCCCAUGCCUUCUAAUAACCCCACAGUCUAAUGUGAAGCUCAGAGUAAUACAUUGGGUAAAAAAACCGAACAACUGUUAACAAUGGAUAUCUUGGUUCUC